rnacentral:snoRNA from 1 species
AAUCUAUGGUGAAAAUGCCAUCUCAAUAAGUCCUUGUACCUCUCCCAUGCAUCAUAUAAAGUCUCUAAAUCGAUCUGCACAAAGGAGGAGAUAUCAUUCCUCAACUU